GGAAGUAAAAGUUGUAACAAGGUUUCCGUAGGUGAACCUGCGGAAGGAUCAUCAUUGUAUAACCGAGGUGCGAGGGCUGUCGCUGACCCGAAAGGUCGUGCACGCCCGAGUGCCCUCACACACAUCCAUCUCACCCCUAUGUGCACCACCGCGUGGGUCCCCCUUUGGCUUGUUCGGAGGGGGGCUUACGUUUUCACACAAACUUUGUAUGCAGUGUAGAAUGUAUUUUUUGUUUUUGCGAUCACGCAAUCAAUACAACUUUCAACAACGGAUCUCUUGGCUCUC
rnacentral:misc_RNA from 1 species